rnacentral:rRNA from 1 species
GAUGAACGCUGGCGGCGUGCCUAAUACAUGCAAGUCGAGCGAACGGACGAGAAGCUUGCUUCUCUGAUGUUAGCGGCGGACGGGUGAGUAACACGUGGAUAACCUACCUAUAAGACUGGGAUAACUUCGGGAAACCGGAGCUAAUACCGGAUAAUAUUUUGAACCGCAUGGUUCAAAAGUGAAAGACGGUCUUGCUGUCACUUAUAGAUGGAUCCGCGCUGCAUUAGCUAGUUGGUAAGGUAACGGCUUACCAAGGCAACGAUGCAUAGCCGACCUGAGAGGGUGAUCGGCCACACUGGAACGGAGACACGGUCCAGACUCCUACGGGAGGCAGCAGUAGGGAAUCUUCCGCAAUGGGCGAAAGCCUGACGGAGCAACGCCGCGUGAGUGAUGAAGGUCUUCGGAUCGUAAAACUCUGUUAUUAGGGAAGAACAUAUGUGUAAGGAACUGUGCACAUCUUGACGGUACCUAAUCAGAAAGCCACGGCUAACUACGUG